UAAAUUUUCCUUUUUUUCUUUGGAUUGAAUUAAGCAUUUUUAAGCAAAAAAAUUGAAGUCUUAAUAAUUUCUGUAACACAAAUUUGAAGUAUUUUGCUAAAACAUUAAAAAUCCCUUUGGUAUCUUGUAUAAAUAGCUUCUUUUUUGUUGUUUAAUAAUUUAAGUAGAAUCAUUUCAAUAUGUACAUAAGGGUUUUAUUAAUUUUAAUUUUUAAAAUUGUACUAUUCUACUGUUUUUUUUGACUGAAAUAAGCAUUUUUAAGGAUAAAAAUGGCAAAAAUUGCCCAAACCAAUCAGAGCGUGCUGUUCAGUAUUAUGGCUCAGCCUCAGACAGCAUUACUAUGUGGUAUUAAAAGGUGACUUAAGGAGACUUAUAUAAUGCGAAAAGGGCUCCCGUAAGCCUAUUUAAAAGGUUGUAAAUGUUUUUUUAUGCUCUCGCUACAAACAUAUUUGAUUUAUAAUUCCUACUUUGCAGACAUGUAUUCACCACCAUCAGGCCUGGAACCAAUAAACUGUGAUUUCUCCUAAAAUGUUUUUGUUCAAUGUGACUUUCAGCAAUCGUGUCUCCUGUCCUGAAAAUAAACAUUUGUGCUUUUCCUCCACCGAGAUCCAAACUUCUCACAUAUUCCGUUCAAUUCAGUCCAAAAACUGUUCAGUCAGAAAACUGAACAGGUUGGAAUUAAUUUCGACAACAAGCAAUGUUUCAAGUCACUUUUGAGAAGUUUGUCAAUAGUCAAAAGUAAUAAAUGACUUCCAAGCGGUCAGUGACGCAAAGUCCAGUUUUGUUGACCAGACCUCCUCCCAUGACCUUUUAUCUUUUGUGGAGUUUCCAAUUGCACCACAUUGCCUCUUUUGCCAACCUGCCAAGCCCCGCCUCCUCUGCCACGACGUGAGAGGGGGCGGAGACUAAGUCCGGUAUAGCUGCCGACUCCCCCCACAAUUCGCUGAAGAUGGACGGACGGACGCUGCGACGACUGGUGUGUGUGUGCUUGCUGUGUGAGGUCGGAGGUCAGCUGCCAUGGCAAGACUUAUUCCGCAGACCCCUACUGCAGAUGCACAUCGGACGACCUUUUGUACCUCAGCAGGUGGUCCCACAAGCAGAUGUCCCCAGGUGAGAACCACAAUCACAAGUUUUAUUAGAAUCUUUGAAGUCUUUCAGGUACUCUCUCAGUCUUCUUUGUCCAAUGAAACAUUUUACUGUGUAGCGGAGACUACUAUUACUAUUACUAUUACUAUUUAUAUAACUGUAUACUAUUACUAUUACU